UGCCCUGCAAAGGUUUAUCUCACCCCCUUCCCACUUCCCAGCUGCCAUGAGCUGACAGCUUUCCUCUGCCAUGCCUUCUGCCAGGAUGUUUCUGCAAUGGAGUUGGCAGACCAUUAGCUGAGACCUCUGGAACUAUUUCCAGAGAUAAGUGCAUGUUAUUUCUUAGGAGGCGAAAUGUUUCUUACAGAAUCAAGUAAGAACAAACAAGAAGUGUCUUGCAAUUAGAACUGGGCCUUGGAAGUGCUGAAUAGAAGAUCUGAGAUUGUUUCUUCUGGAAAAGAUAAAUAAGGUGGACAGUCUUCCUCUGCCACCCACUUCCACCACCAUGAUGUGCUGUACCACCACAGGUCCAAAGAAAUUGGACCAAGUGACCGUGUAUGGACUGAAACCUGUGAGCCAAAACAAGUCUUUCAUCAUCAUCAGUUUAUCUCAGGCCUCUGCAUCCCUGGAACUUGCUAAUGCUUCUCCAUAGACUGAAGAAUGAAGAACAGGCUGUGUUGACUAGCCCCCGAAGAGAGGAACAAAUAAAUUAAUCCUUCUUUUCAUUAAAAAGCUAAAUUGCAUGUG